AGUGAACGCUGGCGGUAGGCCUAACACAUGCAAGUCGAACGGCAGCACAGUAAGAGCUUGCUCUUACGGGUGGCGAGUGGCGGACGGGUGAGGAAUACAUCGGAAUCUACUUUUUCGUGGGGGAUAACGUAGGGAAACUUACGCUAAUACCGCAUACGACCUACGGGUGAAAGCAGGGGAUCUUCGGACCUUGCGCGAUUGAAUGAGCCGAGGUCGGAUUAGCUAGUUGGCGGGGUAAAGGCCCACCAAGGCGACAAUCCGUAGCUGGUCUGAGAGGAUGAUCAGCCACACUGGAACUGAGACACGGUCCAGACUCCUACGGGAGGCAGCAGUGGGGAAUAUUGGACAAAGGGCGCAAGCCUGAUCCAGCCAUACCGCGUGGGUGAAGAAGGCCUUCGGGUUGUAAAGCCCUUUUGUUGGGAAAGAAAAGCAGCAGGUUAAUACCCCGCUGUUCUGACGGUACCCAAAGAAUAAGCACCGGCUAACUUCGUG
rnacentral:rRNA from 1 species